rnacentral:rRNA from 1 species
GUCUACGGCCAUGCUAUCCUGAACAAGCCUGAUCCUCUCUGAUCUCGGAAGCUAAGCAGGGCUAGGCCUGGUUAGUAUUUGGAUGGGAGACCACCUAGGAAGACCAGGUGCUGUAGGUG